rnacentral:rRNA from 1 species
CCUACGGGAGGCAGCAGUGAGGAAUAUUGGUCAAUGGACGAGAGUCUGAACCAGCCAAGUAGCGUGAAGGAUGACUGCCCUAUGGGUUGUAAACUUCUUUUAUAUGGGAAUAAAAUGUUCCACGUGUGGGAUUUUGUAUGUACCAUAUGAAUAAGGAUCGGCUAACUCCGUGCCAGCAGCCGCGGUAAUACGGAGGAUCCGAGCGUUAUCCGGAUUUAUUGGGUUUAAAGAGAGCGUAGGUGGAUUGUUAAGUCAGUGGUGAAAGUUUGCGGCUCAACCGUAAAAUUGCAGUUGAAACUGGCAGUCUUGAGUACAGUAGCGGUAGGCGGAAUUCGUGGUGUAGCGGUGAAAUGCUUAGAUAUCACGAAGAACUCCGAUUGCGAAGGCAGUUCACUGGACUGCAACUGACACUGAGGCUCGAAAGUGUGGGUAUCAAACAGGAUUAGAUACCCUAGUAGUC